rnacentral:rRNA from 1 species
AUUGAACGCUGGCGGCAGGCCUAACACAUGCAAGUCGAACGAGGGGCGGACGGGUGAGUAAUGUCUGGGAAACUGCCCGAUGGAGGGGGAUAACUACUGGAAACGGUAGCUAAUACCGCAUACCAUCGGAUGUGCCCAGAUGGGAUUAGCUAGUAGGUGGGGUAACGGCUCACCAAGGCGACGAUCCCUAGCUGGUCUGAGAGGAUGACCGGCCACACUGGAACUGAGACACGGUCCAGACUCCUACGGGAGGCAGCAGUGGGGAAUAUUGGGCAAUGGGCGCAAGCCUGAUGCAGCCAUGCCGCGUGUGUGAAGAAGGCCUUCGGGUUGUAAAGUACUUUCAGCGGGGAGGCGUUACCCGCAGAAGAAGCACCGGCUAACUCCGUGCCAGCAGCCGCGGUAAUAC